rnacentral:rRNA from 1 species
UGGGGAAUUUUGGACAAUGGGGGAAACCCUGAUCCAGCCAUCCCGCGUGUGCGAUGAAGGCCUUCGGGUUGUAAAGCACUUUUGGCAGGAAAGAAACGUCGCGGGUUAAUACCCCCGCGAACUGACGGUACCUGCAGAAUAAGCACCGGCUAACUACGUGCCAGCAGCCGCGGUAAUACGUAGGGUGCAAGCGUUAAUCGGAAUUACUGGGCGUAAAGCGUGCGCAGGCGGUUCGGAAAGAAAGAUGUGAAAUCCCAGAGCUUAACUUUGGAACUGCAUUUUUAACUACCGGGCUAGAGUGUGUCAGAGGGAGGUGGAAUUCCGCGUGUAGCAGUGAAAUGCGUAGAUACGCGGAGGAACACCGAUGGCGAAGGCAGCCUCCUGGGAUAACACUGACGCUCAUGCACGAAAGCGUGGGGAGCAAACAGGAUUAGAUACCCUGGUAGUCCACGCCCUAAACGAUGUCAACUAG